rnacentral:rRNA from 1 species
UCGAGUGACCUGCGGAAGGAUCAUUAUUGAAUGAACUUGGUGUGGUUGUUGCUGGCCCUUUCGRGGGYAUGUGCACGCCCACCAUCCUCAUCUCUCCACCUGUGCACCUCUUGUAGACUUGGAUUGACUUUCCGAGGCAACUCGGUCGGGAGGAUUGCUGGCACCAGCUGGCUUUCUUUGCAUUUCCRGGUCUACGUUUUUCAUAUACCCCAUUGUAUGUAACAGAAUGUAACAUUGGGCCCUUGUGCCUAUAAACCUUAUACAACUUUCAGCAACGGAUCUCUUGGCUCUCGCAUCGAUGAAGAACGCAGCGAAAUGCGAUAAGUAAUGUGAAUUGCAGAAUUCAGUGAAUCAUCGAAUCUUUGAACGCACCUUGCGCUCCUUGGUAUUCCGAGGAGCAUGCCUGUUUGAGUGUCAUUAAAUUCUCAACCUUUAUCAANUUUUGCUGAUAAUGGCUUGGAUAUGGGGGUCUAUUUUGCUGGCUUCUUUACAGAUGGCCAGCUCCCCUUAAAUGCAUUAGCCGGUGCCCCGCGUGGACUGUCUAUUGGUGUGAUAGAUUAUCUAGCGCUGUGGAGCAUCUGCAAGUUAUAUUGGGUUUGCAACUGCUU